GGCAUGGUGGCCAAGUGGAAAGGUGUUGGUCUUGUAAAUCAACGGUCAUGGGUUCAAACCCAAUCCAUGCCU